AGGUAUCCCUGUUAAGAACUCAGAAGGGUAGAGGGAAAAUUACUUUUUCUCCCCUGCAUUACAUAUUUCAAGUGAACAGAGUCUCUCUCUGCUAUCUGAUUAUUAUGUGAGCCUCUUCCCGCUGCCACACUCAUCUACCAUGAUGUUCUGCCUCACCUUGAGCCACGGAGGAAUGAAGUCGACCAUCUGUGGACUGAAAUCUCUGAAACUAAAACCCACUAAUCAUUAUUGUGUGAAGCACACCUCCUCUAAGAGGAAAUAUUCAUUAGAAGGUAAGUUUUAUCUCAAUUAGCAGAGUGGUUGUUUUAUGACUCAAUCAAUAAAUUCAAAUGCACCAUUUAAAUCAAUCAAAACACAAUUUGUGCAUCAGAAUAUAUACAUUUCUGAUGCAUUAGCUUAAUUUAAAGGAGCAUGAAAUUCCAUAAAGAUCAAGGGGUAGAUAAAAAUUGUCAUUGUUUACAUAGAGAAAGCAGACAUAUAUACUGUGUAAUAAAAGGUAAAAAACAUAAAUAGCUCUCAAUAUGAGAAGACUAUAGCUCUAUUUUUUCAGGAACUUUAUACCAGUCCACCAUCUCUCCCCCUAUCUGGAUAUAAUGAUGAGAGCAUUUUGGAGGAAUAUUUAACUAAGUGGAAUCUCAUCAGGAAGCACUUCAAAGAAGUGCUUUUUAAUGUUCAAAUAUAAAUGUACUUUGAUGACCUUCCUUUUAUCAAGUCCACUAUUAAAAUGCUUUCCUAAUACUUCCUUCCCCCAAAGCCUGGGCUGGUUAAUCAUAUGAUCUCUUUGAAUCACCUUUGAUCCUCCAGGCUGAUUAAAACUAAAUUUGAAAAGAGUAUAUACAAAGGCAUUGAGGCAAGUUUGACCUUGGCAAAAUUAUAAACUACAUAAAGAUAGGUUUCAAUGUCGCACCAUCUGAGUGUCAUUUUCUGUUUUAACUUAUUGAUUCUGCUGUUAUUACUUAUGCUACUCAUCACUUCUUUGUACUUUUGUAAGCUUAUGGUAACUUUCUACGAAGGUUACCUAGCUCAGAUAACAUGAAAUGUGUAAGGACACAGAGCUUUUAGAAAACGAUUACUCAUAUUUUUGCUUCACUGUGUAUUAGUGGUGUGACCCUGAGCUAUUCUGUUUGAACUUCAAUACAAUCAUCACUCAUGAAAUGCUGGGAAAAAAAAUCUAUGAUGCCACAUAGGAGUUUGAUGGAUUCAACUUAUAUUGUAUGUCGAUAUUUCCUUCAUAUACAAUACCAUGUAAGUUAGUAUACAGUUACAUUUAAGGUGAUAAAGUUUUUCACUGAAGAAACUAAUUGUACAUAUAAACCACUUUUUCCUUUUUUAUUAUUAUAUUCUGUGAAUAACUUGGUUUGGAAAUCCAAGACUCAACUGACUUGAAAGUCUUCCAGUUAUAUUAAACAGAUCUACUAUGCACAAAAAGGACAGUUAAGAAACAUAUUUUGAUUAGAAAAUGAGUAAACUUAAUUAAAUGAGCAAGACACACAAUUUCAAGAAUUUUCAGCAACCUGCAUGUGAAGUUUUCUUAAUGGAAAAAGUUCUUAAAGUAUUUCUCUUUUCUAUUCCCAAUGGAAAAUAAACUCCAAACUCACUGAUUUUCAUGUUUGUGGAUGAAUAGGAGAAAUAUCCUAGUAUCAAAUAAGUAAACUGAACAUUGAUAUUUAUAAAAUAAUAUUAUCCUUAUAAUACCUUGGAAAUGCCUAUUUAGUAUUCCAAAAAUUAUCA